GUCUGUUCAGCCUGAGAAAAAAAAGACUGAAGGGAGAUCUGAUUAAUUUUUAUAAAUAUCUAAAGGGAGGUGGGAGGCAAAUGGAUGCUUUGUCACACAGGAAGGUUAUCAGAAUAAAUACAGAUGGAAAUCAUAUUCACUCAAAUUAUGCUCUGUUAGUGUUGCUUCUUUUCUAAAAAUUAUAAUGCCUUCAGGCCCUGCAAGACAGAAAAUGAGAAACAGAAGUGUAGAGUUUACAGUAAAAUACAAAAAUAUGACUAGCAACUAGACAUGAGUCUUUAGAAAAGUCUGAACAAUUUAUAUAGAUAUUUUAAGAGAUAAAAACAAGCACCUUGUAAAUCUGGAUUUUCUAGAGAGGUGGUUCUCACAUUUUUAUACAAUAUCUCAUUGGAAAACUAAAAGUUCUUGUAAAGAGUUCACCUGUAAGUUUGUGUUUAGAGAAGAUCACUCCAAAACAUAAAGCAUUCGUAUAUAUAAGCAUAUAAGCAUAGAUAUAUACAACACUUGCACUAGAUGUGUCAAGCAGCAGAGCUUGCAUCUACAUAUUCAGUAAAAGAACUUCCGUAACUAAUUCUCACCAAUUUUCACAGCAAUAGCUUGUUAGCACUGCCAUUUGACCAUCUGUCUAUUAGCCUCAGUAUCAUGUUAAAAUAAACAAAAUGUCUGACAGCAAAGAAAGAAGGCAACUUGUUGCAGAAUCCUUGUGCAGUAAACUGGUGCUUGUAUUAAUCAGACUGAAUGACGUCAUACUUGGGAGCUGCAGAAAUCCCCAGUUCUAUUGGAUUAUUUCCAGUCCUUUUUGA
rnacentral:lncRNA from 1 species